GACGAACGCUGGCGGCGUGCUUAACACAUGCAAGUCGAACGGAAAGGCCCUGCUUUUGUGGGGUGCUCGAGUGGCGAACGGGUGAGUAACACGUGAGUAACCUGCCCUUGACUUUGGGAUAACUUCAGGAAACUGGGGCUAAUACCGGAUAGGAGCUCCUGCUGCAUGGUGGGGGUUGGAAAGUUUCGGCGGUUGGGGAUGGACUCGCGGCUUAUCAGCUUGUUGGGGGGGUAGUGGCUUACCAAGGCUUUGACGGGUAGCCGGCCUGAGAGGGUGACCGGGCACAUUGGGACUGAGAUACGGACCAGAAUCCUACGGGAGGCAGCAGUGGGGAAUAUUGCACAAUGGGCGGAAGCCUGAUGCAGCAACGCCGCGUGCGGGAUGACGGCCUUCGGGUUGUAAACCGCUUUCGCAUGUGACGAAGCGUGAGUGACGGUAAUGGGUAAAGAAGCACCGGCUAACUACGUG
rnacentral:rRNA from 1 species